UUGCGAAAUGUUGUAAAAUGCGGAUAAUAUAGCCUUGCGAAGUUUGCAAUUUUCAGUCAUUUUGUAUUACAGGAAAUUGAUGCCCCAACACCCGAUUGGGCUGUCAAUUUCCCGUGCGUAAUACAAAAUGACUGAAAAACGGCCACUUCGCAUGGCUAUAUUAUCCGCAUUUUACAACAUUUCGCAACGAAACUUUGGAAUAUUGCUGAUUUUGUGAUGCUCUUUCAAGCUGUGAUGAAAUUUUUGUCCAGAUCAAAAUUUAGUCUAUAAUGCAAAUGGUCCAUU
rnacentral:lncRNA from 1 species